CUAGGAUUGGCUCAGACUGGCAACAGCAGCAACGAAAGUGCAGGCUUGCUGGAGGUCGGAGA
rnacentral:SRP_RNA from 9 species